CUAGCUUGCUAGAAGAUGACGAGUGGCGGACGGGUGAGUAAUGCUUGGGAACUUGCCUUUGCGAGGGGGAUAACAGUUGGAAACGACUGCUAAUACCGCAUAAUGUUUUCGAACCAAACGGGGCUUAGGCUCCGGCGCAAAGAGAGGCCCAAGUGAGAUUAGCUAGUUGGUGAGGUAAAAGCUCACCAAGGCAACGAUCUCUAGCUGUUCUGAGAGGAAGAUCAGCCACACUGGGACUGAGACACGGCCCAGACUCCUACGGGAGGCAGCAGUGGGGAAUAUUGCACAAUGGGGGAAACCCUGAUGCAGCCAUGCCGCGUGUGUGAAGAAGGCCUUCGGGUUGUAAAGCACUUUCAGUUGUGAGGAAAAGUUAGUAGUUAAUACCUGCUAGCCGUGACGUUAACAACAGAAGAAGCACCGGCUAACUCCGUGCCAGCAGCCGCGGUAAUACGGAGGGUGCGAGCGUUAAUCGGAAUUACUGGGCGUAAAGCGCACGCAGGCGGUUUGUUAAGCUAGAUGUGAAAGCCCCGGGCUCAACCUGGGAUGGUCAUUUAGAACUGGCAGACUAGAGUCUUGGAGAGGGGAGUGGAAUUCCAGGUGUAGCGGUGAAAUGCGUAGAUAUCUGGAGGAACAUCAGUGGCGAAGGCGACUCCCUGGCCAAAGACUGACGCUCAUGUGCGAAAGUGUGGGUAGCGAACAGGAUUAGAUACCCUGGUAGUCCACACCGUAAACGCUGUCUACUAGCUGUGUGUGCCUUUAAGGCGUGCGUAGCGAAGCUAACGCGAUAAGUAGACCGCCUGGGGAGUACGGCCGCAAGGUUAAAACUCAAAUGAAUUGACGGGGGCCCGCACAAGCGGUGGAGCAUGUGGUUUAAUUCGAUGCAACGCGAAGAACCUUACCUACACUUGACAUGCUGAGAAGUUACUAGAGAUAGUUUCGUGCCUUCGG
rnacentral:rRNA from 1 species